GAGGUCAGGAAUGUGUGCUCUAAACUCAGACAAAACUAGGUUCAAAUCUUAGCUUAUUGGCUUAAAUACCACUUAUUAGCUUGUGAACUUGUACAGGUGACUUCAACUCACCAAGACCCCACAUCUCAUCUCUAAUAUACAAGUAAAAAUAGAACAUACCUGCCAGGAUGGAUGUGAGGAUUCAGUGAAAUCUACAUGCUUGACAGGCUUUUGCACAUAGAGUAAAGAAUCAAUAAAUGGUCAUUAUUUUGUACUUGGAAAUGCCAAAACAAUGAAGUAGUUACUCAAUACAUGCUGGCACCCACCUGAACCGAAUCAUGCCAAGGCAUGCUGCUGCUUUCUUAAAGGAAUAACCCAAAUAACUGAGAACAAGACACAAACAAAACAACUCAUCUUUCCCUAGACAAAGCCUUCUGAAUUUCCCUUGUUGGCAGUGAUGGUGGGUACCAUGCUGCCCGGGGAGAUGAGGAGCAAGAGGCGGCAAGCCCGGGGAAGCACCGGCACAGGGGUCAGCUGCAGCAGCAGUUUCUGCAGCAGGCCCUUCACCAGAUCCUCCAGGAGGAAGAAAAGUCAGAGGAGCCACAGAGGGAGGGGGAGCAGGGAGAGAGCAGAGGAGACUUUGCAAUUAUCUCCCUGAGACUGUUUAGAAUGUAAUGUUCCUCUCCGCCCCGCUUUCCUUUUCACGCUGUAAUUUUCUUCACAGAAAGAGCACAAUGGAGAACAUAUUCUAGACUGUCGAGCUUGCUACUAACUCCAGCAACCCAGACACGGGAACAGAUAAGGAAAAAAACAGAGGCAAUUUUUUCCCUGCAGAGAUUUGAGAGAUUGAAGCUAAAAAAUCCAGUUACACUUGAACAUCACAUUACCUGCACAGUUAAUGGUUUCGCUAGAGAUGGAGAACAUUUGGAGAUUUCCCCUAAGAAGAACUCUGUUGCCUGCGUUUUCACAAAUUUGCUUAUUUGGUCAAGUGUGGAAGAACCUGUUACUUAUGGUCUCUCAUGAGGAAAAGCUGAAACUCAGCGUUGGAAAACUGAGCUACCCGCUGUUUUGAUCAUCCACCAUUGUGGCAUUGGAUCUGUCAACCAGGUGUUUUCAGCAGACUUGACGGAAUGAGCUCUACCCCUGAGUGACACUGCUCCAUCCACGUCCUUCUUGGGAACAGCUCACAAGACUGAUUUCACUUCCUUCAUUCUCUCAGCUCACGGCCUGUGUCGUUUCAUGAAAAGAAGGUUCUGCUCUGGCUCUUCUUCAGCCAAAAGCUGCAAGAUACCAGAUUGACCUGAAGCAGAGAAUAAGAGCAAUGGACUUGGAUAGUUCUCAAAUCGGAAUUCCCAUUCUGGCUUGUAGCUUCGAUCAAGUUACUCUAUACUCUUUUAGCCUCUGUCUUCUCAUCUGCAAAAGAGGAUUAAUAAUGCUACCUUGCAACUGCUGUGAAGAUCAAGUGCAAUGCCAUGUCUGGUGCUAAGCCCAAGGCUUGGUAUGUAGUAAUUACUCAAUUAAUGAUAGUUAUUUUUCCAGUUGUACUACUUACCAACUCUGUAAGCUUGGUCAAAUCAGUUAAUCUCUCUAUGCAUCAGUUUCCCUCAGUAAAAUGGAUAUGGUAAUAGUAAGUCAUAAAAUUGUUGAAAAGAGAAGAUUAAAUUGGAUAAUGCAUGCAAAGUAGUUAGAACAAUGCCUG